rnacentral:rRNA from 1 species
CUUGGUCAUUUAGAGGAAGUAAAAGUCGUAACAAGGUUUCCGUAGGUGAACCUGCGGAAGGAUCAUUAUUGAAAUAAACCUGAUGGGUUGUUGCUGGUUCUCUAGGGAGCAUGUGCACACCUUGUCAUCUUUAUAUCUCCACCUGUGCACUUUUUGUAGACCUUUCAGGUCUAUGUUGCUUCAUUUACCCCAAUGUAUGUUAAUAGAAUGUUGUGCCUAUAUAAUAUAUACAACUUUCAGCAACGGAUCUCUUGGCUCUCGCAUCGAUGAAGAACGCAGCGAAAUGCGAUAAGUAAUGUGAAUUGCAGAAUUCAGUGAAUCAUCGAAUCUUUGAACGCACCUUGCGCUCCUUGGUAUUCCGAGGAGCAUGCCUGUUUGAGUGUCAUUAAUAUAUCAACCUCUUUAAAUUUUGAGAGUGUUUGGAUGUGGGGGUGUUAUUUUGCUGGCCUUCUCCAAGGUCAGCUCCCCUGAAAUGUAUUAGCGGAACAAUUUGUUGACCGUUCAUUGGUGUGAUAGCAUAUCUACGCUAUUGACGUGAAGCAAGUUCAGCUUAUAACAGUCCAUUGACUUGGACAAUUCUCUAUUUAUUAAUGUGACCUCAAAUCAGGUAGGACUACCCGCUGAACUUAAGCAUAUCAAUAAGCGGAGGA